CCUACGGGAGGCUGCAGUCGAGAAUCUUUCGCAAUGGGCGAAAGCCUGACGAAGCGACGCUGCGUGAGCGAUGAAGGCCUUCGGGUUGUAAAGCUCUUUCGCGUGGGAACGUGUACUACGAUAAGAAGCACCGGCUAACUCCGUGCCAGCAGCUGCGGUAAUACGGAGGGUGCAAGCAUUAAUCGGAAUUAUUGGGCGUAAAGGGCGCGUAGGCGGAUUCGUAAGUCAGAUGUGAAAUUCCGGGACUCAAUUCCGGAGCUGCAUUUGAAACUACAAAUCUCGAGGAUUGGCGGAGAGAACGGAAUUCCACGUGUAGCGGUGAAAUGCGUAGAUAUGUGGAAGAACACCGGUGGCGAAAGCGGUUCUCUACUAUACCUGACGCUGAGGCGCGAGAGCAAGGGGAUCAAACAGGAUUAGAUACCCUUGUAGUC
rnacentral:rRNA from 1 species